UACGGGGGGAGCAAGCGUUGUUCGGAUUUACUGGGCGUAAAGGGCGCGUAGGCGGCCACCGCAAGUCGACUGUGAAAUCUCCGGGCUUAACCCGGAAAGGUCAGCCGAUACUGCGGGGCUAGAGUGCAGAAGGGGCAACUGGAAUUCUCGGUGUAGCGGUGAAAUGCGCAGAUAUCAGGAGGAACACCGGUGGCGAAGGCGGGUCUCUGGGUAACAACUGACGCUGAGGAGCGAAAGCGUGGGGAGCGAACAGG
rnacentral:rRNA from 1 species